rnacentral:rRNA from 1 species
CUUGAAACACGGACCAAGGAGUUUAGCGUGUACGCAAGUCAUUGGGUGAAUAAAACCCAAAGGCGAAAUGAAAGUAAAGAGUUGAGUUUAUAUAAAAGGAAUUUAUUCUUUUUUUAUUUCUCUCUUUAGGGAAGAUGAAAAUUUAAUAUAUAUAAUAUAUGUACUUGUUAUAUAUACUUGUAUUUAUUUAAAUUUUUCGCAUUCCCAGGGCGCUUGGUUCACGCUUUGCGUGUCGAUGCGCACCUAGAGCGUACACGCUGAUACCCGAAAGAUGGUGAACUAUGCCUGGCCAGGACGAAGCCAGGGGAAACCCUGGUGGAGGUCCGCAGCGAUUCUGACGUGCAAAUCGAUCGUCGGAGCUGGGUAUAGGGGCGAAAGACCAAUCGAACCAUCUAGUAGCUGGUUCCCUCUGAAGUUUCCCUCAGGAUA